rnacentral:rRNA from 1 species
GCGGCGUGCUUAACACAUGCAAGUCGAACGGAAAGGCCCUGCUUUUGUGGGGUGCUCGAGUGGCGAACGGGUGAGUAACACGUGAGUAACCUGCCCUUGACUUUGGGAUAACUUCAGGAAACUGGGGCUAAUACCGGAUAGGAGCUCCUGCUGCAUGGUGGGGGUUGGAAAGUUUCGGCGGUUGGGGAUGGACUCGCGGCUUAUCAGCUUGUUGGUGGGGUAGUGGCUUACCAAGGCUUUGACGGGUAGCCGGCCUGAGAGGGUGACCGGCCACAUUGGGACUGAGAUACGGCCCAGACUCCUACGGGAGGCAGCAGUGGGGAAUAUUGCACAAUGGGCGGAAGCCUGAUGCAGCAACGCCGCGUGCGGGAUGACGGCCUUCGGGUUGUAAACCGCUUUCGCCUGUGACGAAGCGUGAGUGACGGUAAUGGGUAAAGAAGCACCGGCUAACUACGUGCCAGCAGCCGCGGUGAUACGUAGGGUGCGAGCGUUGUCCGGAUUUAUUGGGCGUAAAGGGCUCGUAGGUGGUUGAUCGCGUCGGAAGUGUAAUCUUGGGGCUUAACCCUGAGCGUGCUUUCGAUACGGGUUGACUUGAGGAAGGUAGGGGAGAAUGGAAUUCCUGGUGGAGCGGUGGAAUGCGCAGAUAUCAGGAGGAACACCAGUGGCGAAGGCGGUUCUCUGGGCCUUUCCUGACGCUGAGGAGCGAAAGCGUGGGGAGCGAACAGGCUUAGAUACCCUGGUAGUCCACGCUGUAAACGGUGGGUACUAGGUGUGGGGUCCAUUCCACGGGUUCCGUGCCGUAGCUAACGCUUUAAGUACCCCGCCUGGGGAGUACGGCCGCAAGGCUAAAACUCAAAGGAAUUGACGGGGCCCCGCACAAGCGGCGGAGCAUGCGGAUUAAUUCGAUGCAACGCGUAGAACCUUACCUGGGUUUGACAUGGAUCGGGAGUGCUCAGAGAUGGGUGUGCCUCCUUUGGGGUCGGUUCACAGGUGGUGCAUGGCUGUCGUCAGCUCGUGUCGUGAGAUGUUGGGUUAAGUCCCGCAACGAGCGCAACCCUUGUUCACUGUUGCCAGCACGUUAUGGUGGGGACUCAGUGGAGACCGCCGGGGUCAACUCGGAGGAAGGUGGGGAUGACGUCAAGUCAUCAUGCCCCUUAUGUCCAGGGCUUCACGCAUGCUACAAUGGCUGGUACAGAGAGUGGCGAGCCUGUGAGGGUGAGCGAAUCUCGGAAAGCCGGUCUCAGUUCGGAUUGGGGUCUGCAACUCGACCUCAUGAAGUCGGAGUCGCUAGUAAUCGCAGAUCAGCAACGCUGCGGUGAAUACGUUCCCGGGGCUUGUACACACCGCCCGUCAAGUCAUGAAAGUUGGUAACACCCGAAGCCGGUGGCCUAACCGUUGUGGGGGAGCCGUCGAAGGUGGGACUGGUGAUU